CCUGACGUCGCCGUCUUACAUUCGUAAACUCCCUAUUCUCGACCCAUGAUCCUCGCAGCCUGUGAUCCUCGGCGCUCGAGUAUGUUUGGGCUUUCCUAGUUUCCUGUCUAUUUUUGACAAGGUGGCAGGUAGCUUAGGCAAACAUCAAAUUGUUCCAAGCGAAAUAAUUUAUUCAAGCGAAGCUGCCUGCCACUUCUUUCCCAACGGGCAACCGACAUAUUCUAAUUCAAAAUGAUGCGUGGAUCUGAAUAGUACAGCUGGAUUACAAUUUAUCACCGAAUCGACGCGUCCUUGAAAAGGUAUUUAUUAAUUAAAACAAAGCUUCAAUUCAAUAACUUGGUG